rnacentral:rRNA from 1 species
GACGAACGCUGGCGGCGUGCUUAACACAUGCAAGUCGAACGGUAAGGCCCUUCGGGGUACACGAGUGGCGAACGGGUGAGUAACACGUGGGUGAUCUGCCCUGCACUUCGGGAUAAGCCUGGGAAACUGGGUCUAAUACCGGAUAGGACCACUGCCUGCAUGGGUGGUGGUGGAAAGCUUUUGCGGUGUGGGAUGGGCCCGCGGCCUAUCAGCUUGUUGGUGGGGUGAUGGCCUACCAAGGCGACGACGGGUAGCCGGCCGGAGAGGGUGACCGGCAAAACGGGGACUGAGAUACGGCCCAGACUCCUACGGGAGGCAGCAGUGGGGAAUGUCGCACAAUGGGCGCAAGCCUGAUGCAGCGACGCCGCGUGAGGGAUGACGGCCUUCGGGUUGUAAACCUCUUUCAGCACCGACGAAGCGCAAGUGACGGUAGGUGCAGAAGAAGGACCGGCCAACUACGUGCCAGCCGCCGCAGUAA